UUUUUUUUUUUUUUCUUUUAGGUUGCACCUACGUAUGGAAGUUCCUGGGGUAGGGGCCUAAUCAGAGCUUCAGCUGUUGGCUUACUGUAUCCAAGUCACAUCUGCAACCUACACCACAGCUCACAGCAACACUGGAUCCUUAACCCACUGGGCAAGGCCAGAGAUCGAAACCACACCCUCGUGGAUACUAGUUGGGUUCCUAACCCACUGAGCAAUGACAGAAAAGCCUGUAGAGACCAAUUUCAUCUUUAAAAUGCUUUGGGGAGUUCCUGUCGUGGCGCAGUGGUUAACGAAUCUGACUAGGAACCAUGAGGUUGCGGGUUCAGUCCCUGCCCUUGCUCAGUGGGUUAACGAUCUGGCGUUGCCAUGAGCUGUGGUGUAGGUUGCAGACGUGGCUCGGAUCCCACGUUGCUGUGGCUCUGUGUAGGCCGGUGGCUACAGCUCCAAUUCGACCCCUAGCCUGGGAACCUCCACAUGCCGUGGGAGCGGCCCAAGAAAUAGCAAAAAGACAAAAAAAUAAAUAAAUAAAUAAAAUGCUUUGGACUAGUAAUGUUGGCAGAAGCAAAUGCAAAGGAAAUGAAAAGCUCAUAGCGAAAAAAUAAGUAAGCAUAGAAAAGGCACAAUGAGUGAGGACAACUGAAACAACCAAUACACAAGAUGUAUGUGCAAAAUUUCUUAAAUUAGAAUUCUCAAACAGAAUAUAAAACAACUAUGAUUACCCACUAUAUAGCACAGGAAACUAUAUCUUGUCACUUGUAAUGGAACAUGAAGGAGGAUAAUGUGAGAAAAAGAAUGUAUAUAUAGGGACUGUGAUNAAAGACAAAAUUUUAAAUACAUGCAGGGAACUAAAGACUAUCUUCUAAAGAAAGCUGUUUUGUUGGCAUUAGUCACCUUUUACUGCAAUUCAAUGAGUACAUCAAGCAGUUUAGUAAACAGAGCCAAAUUGCCAAGAUCUGGAAUGCUGAGCAAAGGUAUAAGUUUUGUGACCAGUGGGAAAUAAUAUGUUGAGAAUUACAGCAUUGAAAGAAACUGUUACAAAAUUCUAUCAUCAGAGAAUUAAAAAGACUUUAGGGCUUAAGAAAAUUGAUGCCCUCUUGUGCUAGAAUGGUAACGUGAAUUGGUACAUUAUAGGAGGACAACUGUGAAACAUGUAUCAAGUCUAAAAAUACCAUGUGACCCAGCAAUCCCACACCUGGGUAUAUAACUGGAGAAAACCAUAUUUGAAAACAUACAUGCACCCCAAUGUUCACUGCAGCAUUAUUUACAAUAGCCAAGACAUGGAAGCCACCUAAAUGUCCAUUGAAAGAGGAACAUAUCAAGAAGAUGUGGUACUUAGGAGUUCCCGUGUAGAUCAGCAGUAACAAGCCCGGCUAUUAUCCAUGAGGACGAAGGUUUGAUCCCUGGCCUCAUUCAGUGGGUUAAGGAUCUGGCGUUGCUGUAAGCUGUGGUGUAGGUAGCAGGUGCAGCUUGGAUCUGGCGUUGUUAUGGCUGUGGUGUUGGCCGGCAGCUGCAGCUCCAAUUUGACCCCUAGCCUGGGGACUUCCAUAUGCCACAGGUGCGGCCCUAAAAAAAGAAAAGAAAAGAAAAGAAAAAAGAUGAUGUGGUACUUAUACACAAUGGACUAUUACUCAGGCAUAAAAAAGAAUGAAAUAAUGCCAUUUGCAGCAACAUGGAUGGACUUAGAGAUUAUCAUCUCUAUUUCACUUAUAUGUGGAAUCUAAUUUUAAAAUGAUACAAAAGAAACUUGUUUACAAAACAGAAACAGACUCACAGAUUGUGAAAUUAAAUUUGUGGUACCAAAGGGGAAAGGUGGCGGGGGGGAUAAAUUAGGAGUCUGGGAUUAACAUAUACACACUACUAUGUAUAAAGUAGAUAAUCGACCAGGACUACUAUAUAGCACAGGGAACUCUACUCAAUAUUCUGUAAUAACCUAUAAAGGGAAAGAAUUUGAAAAUGGAUGUAUGUUUAUGCAUAACAGAAUCACUUUGCUGUAUCGCCAAAACUAAUGCAACAUUAUAAAUCAACUGCACACCAAUAAAAUAAAAAAAUUUUUGAAAAACAAAAAAAAAAAACCAUAUUUUCUGGCAAAAAUCUCCCUUCCAAGAGUUUGUUCAAAAGAACAAAUUAAGAAUGCAUGAAAACAUUUAUUUUUGAGAUUAAAGACAAUAUAAAUGUCCCAAAAUAGGGGAUUGUUAAAUAAAUUAUUCAUUUCCAAAGGACGAGUUUCUAUGUGACUCAGUGGGUGAAGCACCCAAAGCUGUCACUGCAGUGGCUCGGGACUGAUCCCUGGCCUAGGAACAGGUGUGGCAAAAAAAAAAAAAAAAGAAAAAAAAGAAAAAAG
rnacentral:lncRNA from 1 species